CCCUUAGACGUUCUGGGCCGCACGCGCGCUACACUGACCAGUGCAACAAGCAUCCGUCCUUGGCCGAUAGGUCUGGGUAAUCUUUGAACGCUGUUCGUGAUUGGGAUAGACCUUUGCAAUUAUGGGUCUUCAACGAGGAAUUCCUAGUAAACGCAAGUCAUCAGCUUGCAUUGAUUACGUCCCUGCCCUUUGUACACACCGCCCGUCGCACCUACCGAUUGAAUGGUCCGGUGAAAUCUCGGGACGGCGGCUUGGUCGCUUGCGUCCGACUGCUGAAACUUGAUUAAACCAUAUCAUUUAGAGGAAGGUGAANUCGUANCA
rnacentral:rRNA from 1 species